GGACGAAUCUCUGGAGAGACUCCCUCUCGCUUUCAUAGAGCGCGGAGGAAAACGAGCACCGAAGGAGCAAAUCCGCUACUUUAGCGGAUAAUCUCUCAGGUAAAAGGACAGAGACAAGCGA
rfam:Bacillus cereus ATCC 14579, complete genome.